AUCUUCUCCUCCUUGCUUUUCUUGCUUCUUAUUGGGUUUCCUCCAUGAGAGAAGCCUUGAGCUCGGGAUUGGAGCUUUGUGGAGGGAGAAUCUUCAACCCCAUUUGGAUUGGGGCCUAGUUUGGAGCUUCUAAGAGGUUAGAUUGGAAGGACUCUAGCUCCCAUUUGGAGAUUGUGAGAGCUUCCUUCGCAAUCGGGUACUAGGAGUGUGGUGGACGCCUUCGUCGUGACAAACGAGAGCCUUCGUUGACGACGGUGGGUUUGGCUUCCUUGAAAUCGGAGGAAAUUCCUCCUAAGUGGUUAAAUGCUUUCAUUCUCUUCAAAUUCAUGCAUAUUCAUGUUUAGUAGCAUUUAUGGGAAUUUUGAAUGCUUGGAACUCAUAUGUUAUGCAUCAAGAAAGUUACUCUAUAUAGUAGAGAGACAAAUGUGCUUUGUUAAUAUGCAUGCGACGAAUAUUCUAUGAGAUGAUAGGAAAUAAAGUUUCAUGCUUCGAUUUUGA